CCUACGGGAGGCAGCAGUGAGGAAUAUUGGUCAAUGGGCGGGAGCCUGAACCAGCCAAGUAGCGUGCGGGAUGAAGGCUCUACGGGUCGUAAACCUCUUUUGCACGGGGAUAACACCCUCCACUUGUCGAGCUCUGCAUGUACCUUGCGAAUAAGGUCCUGCUAAUUCCGUGCCAGCAGCCGCGGUAAUACGGAGGUCCCGAGCGUUAUCCGGCUUCAUUGGGGUUAAAGGGUGCGUAGGCGGGCGUUCAAGUCAGCGGUAAAAUCCUGGGGCUCAACCGCGCCCCGCAGUUGAAACUGGGCGGCUUGAGUACACGAGAGGCAGGCGGAAUUCGUGGUGUAGCGGUGAAAUGCAUAGAUAUCACGAGGAACCCCGAUUGCGAAGGCAGCCUGCCGGGGCGCGACUGACGCUGAGGCUCGAAGGUGGGGGUAUCAAACAGGAUUAGAUACCCUUGUAGUC
rnacentral:rRNA from 1 species